AGUCGAGCGGNNAGAAGGGAGCUUGCUCCCGGAUGUUAGCGGCGGACGGGUGAGUAACACGUGGGUAACCUGCCUGUAAGACUGGGAUAACUCCGGGAAACCGGAGCUAAUACCGGAUAGUUCCUUGAACCGCAUGGUUCAAGGAUGAAAGACGGUUUCGGCUGUCACUUACAGAUGGACCCGCGGCGCAUUAGCUAGUUGGUGAGGUAACGGCUCACCAAGGCGACGAUGCGUAGCCGACCUGAGAGGGUGAUCGGCCACACUGGGACUGAGACACGGCCCAAACUCCUACGGGAGGCAGCAGUAGGGAAUCUUCCGCAAUGGACGAAAGUCUGACGGAGCAACGCCGCGUGAGUGAUGAAGGUUUUCGGAUCGUAAAGCUCUGUUGUUAGGGAAGAACAAGUGCAAGAGUAACUGCUUGCACCUUGACGGUACCUAACCAGAAAGCCACGGCUAACUACGUGCCAGCAGCCGCGGUAAUACGUAGGUGGCAAGCGUUGUCCGGAAUUAUUGGGCGUAAAGGGCUCGCAGGCGGUUUCUUAAGUCUGAUGUGAAAGCCCCCGGCUCAACCGGGGAGGGUCAUUGGAAACUGGGAAACUUGAGUGCAGAAGAGGAGAGUGGAAUUCCACGUGUAGCGGUGAAAUGCGUAGAGAUGUGGAGGAACACCAGUGGCGAAGGCGACUCUCUGGUCUGUAACUGACGCUGAGGAGCGAAAGCGUGGGGAGCGAACAGGAUUAGAUACCCUGGUAGUCCACGCCGUAAACGAUGAGUGCUAAGUGUUAGGGGGUUUCCGCCCCUUAGUGCUGCAGCUAACGCAUUAAGCACUCCGCCUGGGGAGUACGGUCGCAAGACUGAAACUCAAAGGAAUUGACGGGGGCCCGCACAAGCGGUGGAGCAUGUGGUUUAAUUCGAAGCAACGCGAAGAACCUUACCAGGUCUUGACAUCCUCUGACAACCCUAGAGAUAGGGCUUUCCCUUCGGGGACAGAGUGACAGGUGGUGCAUGGUUGUCGUCAGCUCGUGUCGUGAGAUGUUGGGUUAAGUCCCGCAACGAGCGCAACCCUUGAUCUUAGUUGCCAGCAUUCAGUUGGGCACUCUAAGGUGACUGCCGGUGACAAACCGGAGGAAGGUGGGGAUGACGUCAAAUCAUCAUGCCCCUUAUGACCUGGGCUACACACGUGCUACAAUGGACAGAACAAAGGGCUGCGAGACCGCAAGGUUUAGCCAAUCCCACAAAUCUGUUCUCAGUUCGGAUCGCAGUCUGCAACUCGACUGCGUGAAGCUGGAAUCGCUAGUAAUCGCGGAUCAGCAUGCCGCGGUGAAUACGUUCCCGGGCCUUGUACACACCGCCCGUCACACCACGAGAGUUUGCAACACCCGAAGUCGGUGAGGUAACC
rnacentral:rRNA from 1 species